rnacentral:lncRNA from 1 species
GAAUGCAGAAUUUCGUGUGAAGGAGGUUCAGUACAUCCAGGCAGAAGUAUGUUCUUUUUUCAUACCCUCCUAUAAAAUAAAUAAUUUGUUUGUAUAAGGUUUUUCUUAAAAUGUUUAUAUUAUAUUGAAAUACAAAACUAGAUUAUCAUGUUUAACUUAAUAUUCAUCUUGAGUAGCGUAUAAUUGUUUUUAAACUAAUUAUGAUAAGGAAUAUUAAAUGUUUAAAAUAAUUAGUACUUAUAACUUCAAAACUGAAUAGAGAACAAGUACUAUGUCAUGUAGUCUCAGGUUAGUCUUACAAAAGAAAAAAAAAGAAAAAAGGAAAAGGAAACAAAGAAGAAAAGACAAAAGGAAAAGAAGGGGUAAAUGUUAGGCCUAUAAUUGAUGAUAAAAUUCAUGAAAUAUCUAAGGAUGGGAGAAUAAUUUUGGCAAAUGCAAAUUGUAAACUUAAAAUUUGUGAUUUUUGGCUUGGCGAGGGUUGCAUUCAAUGAUACACCUAUUACUAUAUUUUGGACGGUAUGUGAUCUAGAACCAUGAUACAUGAAUUUUCAACUUUCACUCGUUCACUUUUAUACAUAUGUUUUUGAAUUAUACUGUAUGGACUAUAUGAGUCAUUAUUAACUUUUACACUGAUAUUUUAUAGGAUUAUGUUGCUACAAGAUGGUAUAGAGCUCUAGAAUGCAUUCCCGUUAUGGUCAUUGGGUUGCUUUUUCAAUAGCAGUAGCUUUUCUUUUAACGUUUCGUUCUGAAUUAGUUUCCUACAACAAUGAGAUCAUAGUAUCAAUUACUCUAGGUAUGACCACCAAUGCUGCUUACAUAGAACCACCUCAAGAACUUCCCAAAUGGCAUGGUCCAUCCCCUGAAUUUGGAGAAAUGGUCAGUAAUUUGAUAGUAGUACUAAUUCCUAGUUAUCUCAUACAAGAAAUAAGAUCUAAUUACUAAUGAUUAACGACUGUUUUAACUUUCAGGUUAUUAGCUUAGAAUGGGGAAAUUUCAAAUCUCAGCAAUCACAGCAAAAAGGCACAGGGCAAGGUUACAACCUAUAAAUACUAAGUACAUCUGGUGACCUAUUUGCUUCAUUUUCCUGACUUGCUACUAUUUUUAAAUAUGUGCAGGAAGACUGCUUCUACGACCUGCCUUACAAUACUGGGUAUCAAAUUUUCGUGCUACGUUUACGGAAGAUAAGGGACAAAUUAUGAAGUGUACUCUCUCUAUAUAUAUAGAUAUAUACUUUGAUUGAAGAACUGUGGUAGCUUUAGAUGGUUAAUUGUAAAGAUAAUGAAUGAUUAUGUAGUGGAUGAUUUUAUUAAGUUAAUAAUAUUUUAGUUUUUUGUAUUUUUGUCAUUAUUUGCUAUGGGGACAUUGAGUCAGCCAGGUACACAAAAAGAAUGUCAAAUUUUGAUUUGGUAACAAUAUAAUUCGUUAGCAAAGCAUUGGAUAAGUUUUAAUAUAACAACAAUUUUUUAUACAUUUAGCAACAAAUUUUCGUUGCUAAUGGAAUUAAAAAUAUAAUAUUUGGCAACGAAAAAUUAACCUAAUAACAACGGAGAGAAUAUUGUUGCUAAUACUAACAUAAAAGACAACAUUUUUUAUCGUUGCAAAUCAUAUCAACUUUCAUUGCACAUAUAAAGAAACGGCAACAUAUAAUGUCGUUGCUAAUCGACGACUUUCGUUGCUAUUGAAAAAUAACCAGAAACAAACAUUUUCGUUGCUGAUUCAGUAUAAUGUUGUUGCCAAAUAAUAUAAUCAGCAACGAAAAUCGUUGCUAAAAAGUUUACAUUCCGCAAUGAAAGAAAGCUUAGGCAAUGAUUUUCAUAAUUUACUGCAACGAAAAAUGUCAUUGCAAAAUGGUGUCAAUUGCAACGAAAAUGUAUUGUCGUUGCAAAAAAAAGAGUUCAUUUCGUUGCCAAUUAGCAGGCUUUUGCAACGAAAUGGGGUUUUUAGCAACGAAAUUUUAAUUAUUCUGCAACAAUAUAUUUUGUUGCUAAAGGAUUAAUGUCUCUGUACGAAAGCCAAAUUUUGUUGCAAAAUGUAUUCGUUUUGGUAACAAAAAAAAACGUUCGUUACGGAACAAUUAGCAACGCUCAUUGCGCAACGAAAGACGCAACGACAGUAAAGUCGUUGCCAAACCCCUUUUGCAACGAAAUUUGGCACCUUUAGCAACGGAAAUUGGUUGUUGCUGAAGCCCCAUUUUUUGUAGUGCACACACACACACACACACACACACACACACACACACACAUAUAUAUAUAUAUAUAUAUAUAUGCACAUUAUCUGGCUCAUAUUCUCACCUUUAAAAUAAAAAAAAAUUAUAUGCAAAAUUUCUUAUUUAUUUAUAUAGAAAAUAUCGGGUUAUUACAUUCACCCUCCCUUAUAAAGAUUUUGUCCCCGGAAUCACCGUUUCAAAACUUAUACAUACAAGGGUACAUAGCAUACGCAAUCAUUGCAAAUAGAUCUCGAUCAUAAAUUAUCGAACUGAUCUUUAACUAUUCAGCAUAAAGCUUGUCUAUCUGAUUAAAUGGAAAAAUUGAUUUCUAAAAGAACUCAAAUUCCUCUUUCAAAAUUUCUUUAUAAAAUAAUUUACUAUAUAUAUAAGAAAAUCAUAUAUAAGAAAUUAAAAUUGAUUCAAAUAAUACCCGGAGUUGCAUCCCCAGCUGCCACGGUAUCUUGAACUGUCAGGUUGAAGACUCUUGCGGUUGAUUCUGUUGGUUUGUUUGUUGAAGUUGGUUUCGUUGUUUCCAGCGUCUCGCUACUUUUCCUCGUAUUCACGCUUCCUGCCUCCAUUCUCCUUUUCGGACAGUCCUUCACCUUAUGCUCCGUUGAUCUUCUAAAUCCUGGCAGUACGACCACCUUGAAUUCUUUGAUGUUCGCUAAUCGAUUAUCUGGCUUAUUUCCCACGGCUGGUAUUCCAUUCUGCAUAUCUUGAGCGACCAUAAUCGUAAGAUUCUGUAUCGGGUCUGGUUGUCUUCUAGCUUUGUUGACAGGUUCUUCUGCCCUUUGGUUUCAUUUUCGUCUUGGCGACAUUAUCAUAAAUUAUUCUUUAUUAACUUACAUUCUAAGCCUUAUCGUAUACGUUUAGCAUAUAACGCAAAAUUUUUUAUUCAAAUAAUCAUGUACUCAAAAUAUUAGAUUUUGAAAACUUAGCUUACUGUAUUAACCAGUGUUCAGAUAAAUAAUUACUAUCUUUAUAUCAACUUAUUUCAUUAAUCCAACAUAGAUUCAUAUUCAUAGCAAUUGACAUACCAUAGCACAUACUGCUUUAAACAUCCGCUAUCCUUUUGUGACUCAAAAGUCAGGAUUCGCUGCCACAACUUAUACGAAAGUUGAGAAUAUUACAUUACAUAGUCAUACCUAUCAUAUACACAUCAUAGAAUCAUACAUAAUCAAGUAAUAUUAAUACUACUUAUUUCUUACGCCUUCACUAAGGAUCAUUUGCUUAGUAUUCUAUAUAUUCCCAUCAUCCUCAAUAAUCCAUUCACACCUAACUAUACCAAGUUCAUCAAACUUACCACACAUUAUGAGUUUAAGAACUCACCACAAACAUAUGAGUUUUAAGAACUCGAGCUUGACCUUAUAUUCUUUAACUAUACUCUACCUAUCAGUUAUACUAUCGUUCUGGGUCCGGUACUAUAUUUUUCCAGUAUAAUCACCUCAUUAAGGUUGCUUUCAAAGUGAGCCUCUAUUUCAGCUAUUGGCUUUGAUAUAGGUUUGGUUAUGGAGGUUGACUCCUUCUUUACGAUCUGAGGGUAUCCUAACUCUUUACCACCUGACAUCUACAUACAAAUUAUCCUGAUUAGCAUAUAAGAUAUACAUACAGCAAAUAAUAGUUUUAUAUAAGUUAUCUUUUAUUUUUUUUUACGAUGAAUUUAUUCAAUUCAUUUCCUUAUAAACUCUAAAUGAGUUAUUUAUAUUUUCAACGUUUCCCUGUCCUAAGGUUAUAGCCUAAGGUCUAUCUCACCUAAGGUUUCCAACCCUAAAGCUCUGAUACCAACUUAUAACGCCUCCAAAUUCAGGUACUUGAAACCCGAACUCAGUUCUUUACGAUACCAUUUCUAUGAGCGGAAUAAUACUAAUAAUAAUAACAAUAAUAUGAAUAUCAAACUUAAUUUACAUAUAUCAAAGUCUAAUCCCAGGUACACGACAUUUACUAUAUUUCAUUACAUGAUAGAUAAUACAUAUCAUUGCCUUAAUAAUGUCUACCUAUUACAAAAGAUACCAUUAAACUUAUUCUGUUUGCUUUCCUUUGUCCUUGUUUUUACUUGUACCUUCUGGUUGUUCACACUUAGCUGAAAACAUUUAAAUUAAGCAAGGAUGAGCAUUUGAGUGCCCAUCAAGUAAUAAUGUAAGACCCUAACUUUUAUAAAUAAAGAUGAAUUUUCUAUAAAUAUUAUUUUUGAAUAUUAUGGAGUAAAUUUGAUAUAAUGUUAUAGUNNNNNNNNNNNNNNNNNNNNNNNNNNNNNNNNNNNNNNNNNNNNNNNNNNNNNNNNNNNNNNNNNNNNNNNNNNNNNNNNNNNNNNNNNNNNNNNNNNNNAGUAUUUUUGUCGUUUUCUCAAUCCGACAAUAAUUCUGUUGUGGGGUCCACCAAUGAUUGUGCCGUUGUACGAAUAUUACCCGACCAAUCGAAUAUUAUAUAACAACUCACUACAAAAAAAUGGGCCUUUAGCAACUAUUUUUCGGGCAACGACUUUAUAAGUCGUUGCUAAAAGUAUAUGUUUAGCAACGAAAUUUGUUGUUCGUUGCAGAUUCUGUCAGGCUUUCACUUUUUGCAACGAAAUUCAUAAGUCGUUGCAAAAUUUCGUUGCUAAUUCAUUGGCGGAAAAAAAUUUCGUUAGAAAUUCGUUGUAAAAUUUCCGGCCACUUGAUUUUCCGUCAUCGUGGGCAACGAAAGUUUUUUUGUUGCUAAAAAUGGGGCUUUAGCAACGAUUUUUCAGGCAACGACUUUAUAAGUCGUUGCUAAAAGUGUAUGUUUAGCAAUGAACUUGUCCUUCGUUGCAGAUUGUGUCAGGCUUUCACUUUUUCACAACGAAAUUCAUAAGUCGUUGCAAAAUUUGGAAACAAAAUUCAUUAAAAAUUCGUUACAAAAUUUCUAACCACUUGAUUUCUCCUCAUCGUGAGCAACGAAAGUUUUUUUGGUGCUAUAUUUUGUUGCCUAAUAUGGACCACAUUCAUUGGCAACAAAUUUUAUUUUGGUUGCAUAUUUUAUACAAUUUUUUGCAACGACUAUUAAAAUGUUGCCUUAAAUUAAGAUAAUCCCAAUAAGCAUGUUUUUGUAAGACCAUAUUCGGUUUUAUGCAGGGUCCACGAAUGGUUUGUGAUGUUUUUCGCCUUGCCAAGGAAAAUGCUCCUGCAAUUAUUUUUAUUGAUGAGGUAGAUGCCAUUGCAACUGGUAGGUUUGAUGCUCAUACUGGAGCUGAUAGAGAAGUCCAGCAAAUUCUCAUGGGUACUUCUAAACCAGGUAAACUUUAAGAUAAUUAGAGUUGACUAUUGGCGAGUGGAAUAAUCAGCUUCCUUUGUUUUCUUUGUGCGAAAUCAUAGAUGGAGGCAUCCUGCACUUGGCCAUCUUUUUUGGGCAAUAAUUUUCAAGUUUAUAUAAUUAGAUCAACUUUUGUAGAUGGAUGAUUUGACCAGACAGUGAAUUCAAUGAUACACCUACUACUAUAUUUUGGAUGGUAUGUGAUCU